rnacentral:rRNA from 1 species
GACGAACCGAGCGAACGUUAUUCGGAAUCACUGGGCUUAAAGGGCGCGUAGGCGGGCGGUCAAGUCAGAGGUGAAAGCCUCCAGCUCAACUGGAGAAGUGCCUUUGAUACUGGUCGCCUCGAGGGAGAUAGGGGCGUGCGGAACUUCCGGUGGAGCGGUGAAAUGCGUAGAGAUCGGAAAGAACACCAACGGCGAAAGCACUCUGCUGGGCCGACACUGACACUGAGAGACGAAAGCUAGGGGAGCGAAUGGG